CGGUGGAGCAUGUGGUUUAAUUCGACGCAACGCGAAGAACCUUACCUAGGCUUGACAUGCAGGAGCAAGCUCUCAGAAACGGGCCCAUCCGACAGGUGUGACGAGCGCAACCCCUGUUCUUAGUUGCCAGCGGGACGUCAAGUAUCAUGGUCCUUACGUCUAGGCUACAUACAUGGGCGGGACAAGGGGGCCGAGGCAGCAAUGCCAAGGCUCCCAAAACCCGUCCUCAGUUCGGAUUGUCGUGCAACUCGACGGCAUGAAGCUGGAAUCGCUAGUAAUCAGGAUCAGCAUCGCCACGGUGAAUACGUUCCCGGGCCUUGUACACACCGCCGUCACGCCAUGGAAGUGGUGAGCGCCCGAAGUCCGUGUCGGAACCCGCAAGGGGCCAAGCGGCCGAAGCGAGCAUCAUGACUGGGGCGAAGUCGUACAAGGU
rnacentral:rRNA from 1 species